GACGAACGCUGGCGGCGUGCUUAACACAUGCAAGUCGAACGGAAAGGCCUUGCUUUUGUGGGGUGCUCGAGUGGCGAACGGGUGAGUAACACGUGAGUAACCUGCCCUUGACUUUGGGAUAACUUCAGGAAACUGGGGCUAAUACCGGAUAGGAGCUCCUGCUGCAUGGUGGGGGUUGGAAAGUUUCGGCGGUUGGGGAUGGACUCGCGGCUUAUCAGCUUGUUGGUGGGGUAGUGGCUUACCAAGGCUUUGACGGGUAGCCGGCCUGAGAGGGUGACCGGCCACAUUGGGACUGAGAUACGGCCCAGACUCCUACGGGAGGCAGCAGUGGGGAAUAUUACACAAUGGGCGGAAGCCUGAUGCAGCAACGCCGCGUGCGGGAUGACGGCCUUCGGGUUGUAAACCGCUUUCGCCUGUGACGAAGCGUGAGUGACGGUAAUGGGUAAAGAAGCACCGGCUAACUACGUG
rnacentral:rRNA from 1 species